rnacentral:lncRNA from 1 species
CCGCGUUGCUGUGGCUGUGGCAUAGGCCGGCGGCACAGCUCCCUUUCGAACCCUCGCCUGGGAACCUCCCUCCAUAUCCCGCGGAUGCAGCUACAAAAAGCAAAUAAAUAAAUAAAUGCUUACUUAUUAUCUUUGUAAAUUAGUGGGGAGAAAAAGCCAUUUCCAUAUGGGAACCCCAAGGACCCAGGCCUGGGGACCCUGAGCAAAUCAAUGGGGCACAGCACGUGGCUCACUGCCCUGCGCGUCCCCAGAGAGGAAGGACCAUUCUGGACGGUUUCUUGGUCCCCGGUCCCCGGACAGUACUCGCACCAGGACCGCUGCCAGGGCCUGGAGAGAGCGGAUCCAGCGUCCCAGCUCCGGAUCCAGCUUCCCAGCUCCGAGGCUCCUCAGACAGAAGAGGGCGGGGCCUCGUUCUUCCCUCCUGCCCCCAGGCUGCCAGGCUGCGUUUCAUAGUUUGAUUGAAAGUGUGCCAUCCCGUCUGUCUCUCCGCAAACAAAUGGAAUAUUCUGAGCUUCCAGCAUUUGGAGGCACACAGCUUGCAUCUUUUCCUGAAGAAAAAUAAAUAGCAUGUGUGGUUAACAACCGAGUCCUGAUGGAGAAAACAAUGCUGCCGACCAGAAGCCCUUGCGCAACCGGGGCCGCAGACGCCAGGCAGGUAGCUGAGCUUCAACUCCUCUGCAAUGCCAAGUCCAUCCACUGUCAGAAGACCCCUCCUCCUCUGCCACCAGCUCACCCACACCCAUCCAGGACCCUGGCUUGCAGGGCUGUCCAUGUCUGUUUACAAACCGCAGGAGAGAAAGCGGCUCAAGGCAUAGGUCAAGCUGCAGAGCUUUUUGGAACAAGGGGUUUAAAACCUACCUUUUUUUGGAAUAAUCCCAGCUCCCAACUCUGGGAGAAACAAAUACAAACCAGAAUUCUCUGGCUGCGGUCUGUCUGAAUAUCUGGACACUUUUCCCAGCAUGUGACAUCCUCUUCCGUCCAGACUUCAAGGUUAAAAAUAGCCUGGCAAACCCUUUGAACUAUUGUCUCUUUCAAACACAAUAUGGAUUGUAUGUGUGUUUACCACUUGGAAGAAACGCUUUGUGACACAAGACAUGCUGACAGGGUGUUUCAGGCUAAGGGUGGAGGAGGGUGUCCACGGACUUGUUGAAUUUACACUAAAUACAUACACACACCUGUUCCCACGCACCCAGGCUGCUCCUGCCUGGUACAACCAUUCCCAAGCGGCUGCUAAGACUGUAACAACCCUGUGGGGUGAUCCAAUUGACCAAAACUCAGCAGGAAGCCCCAUUGUCUUCCUCCCUCCAAUAGAUCAGCAAAACGCGUGAUCAGGAAGAUUUUCUCUCUCUCUCUCUCUUUUUUUUUUUUUUUUUUUUUUGGCCACCCUGCGGCAUAUCAAGUUCCCAGGCCAGGGAUAAGAUCCGAGCUGCAGUUGCAACCUAAGCCACAGCUUCAGCAAUGUCAGAUCCUUAACCCACUGUGCUGGACCGGGGAUCGAACUCUCACCCCAGCACUCCCAAGACACUGCCCAUCCCAUUGCGCCACAGCAGGAAAUCUGGGAAGAAUUUUAAGAAGUGGCCAUCUUAAAAUUUCUAACUGCCUUUCUGGUCCCAGCAGAUUUUUGUUCAAGAAAGAAUCACUAGGUAACCUUCUCUCUUUAAAGGCCCUGGGCCUUAAGAAAGGCCUCUCCUUCUAGAACCACUCUCCAUGCAGAGGUGGCUGCUGGCAGGACCUGAGAACCUUUGCUGUGGAGCCAGAACGCCUCCCUGGGAGCACAGGGGUGGGGAACUGGCCUGAGUUUUUGAGGUUCACAAUCCUAGAGCCUCUUGGUUGGACUGGAACAUUCUGGCCAUGGUCAGCUGGCAGGACAGGAGCAAGAGCUUCUCAGAAAAUGGGCAUUUGACUGGCAAAGCCAGCCCCACACCAGGUGCAGCUGU